rnacentral:lncRNA from 1 species
ACUAAUUAGGACCUGUUUGCUUAUUAUCUCCAUUCAUCUUCAUUAUAGCCAUAUAAGACAAAUAAUAAAACAAAAUUAUUAUCCCCAUUAUACAGAUUUGGAAAACUGAAGCCCAAAGAAAUAAGAUGAAGUGGUUGAAUUAGUUGAUUGUGAAACUUCCCUUCAGCUUUCAUCUAUUAUUAAAACUUAGCUUCUUUCAUGGAAAUUUCUUGUGGAGAAGUGUUCUAAACCUUGAUGAAGAUAUAUACCACAAGGAUCACUCAAGAGAAGGACAAAAGGGAUGAUAUCCUAGAAUAUGCUGCCAUUCCCAGACCACAUAUAUCCAUGAAGAAAAAAAGAAAAAUACUCUCAGUUCAAAGCCAGAAUUUUUUGCAUUACAUUAUCUGUGGGGCAUAUGAGAUUGUUGAUAUUAAACUACUUGGGUAUAAGUAAAUUGAGCCUUGGAAGAAAAAAUGAAAGAUAUUAGAAAAAAGGUUGGUGUGACAAAAUUUGAUUACAAGAGGUCAGAUAUAAUACAAACAAUGAAAUUUUAGCUGUCUUUCUACCUCAAGAUUCCCUCCAGCACACCAUGCUCGGCAAAUUUUAAGCAUAUAAUCAUAAUUAUAAUGACAUUUUAAUGCUAAUUAAGUGUCCUUUGUCAUUUUUAUCUUGAUCCUCAUAACAUCCUUGGGAAGUAGGUUAUAUUAUCAUCCCCAUUGUUCAGAGAAGGAAACAGAGGCAAACAUAGGCUAAAUGACUUGCUCAUGGUUUUCCAAAUGGGUGAGUGUAUCUGAGGCUGGAUUUGGACUAAAGUCUUCUUCACUCCAUGCUUGGUGCUUUAUAUACUCUCAUCAUCUAACAGCCUUGAUAAUAUUGAAUAACUGCAUGUUGACUUUGAGGAGAUGAGUUAUAAAAAGUCCUUUCUUUGGCUAUUGAUAUACUCAUUAUUAUAGUUUCUUAUUUUGGGGUAAUAUGGGCAUAUGUUUGUAUAUGUGAAGUCCAGAGAAAUAAUGUUUUAAUUCUGGCUUUGACUCUGCUUAUGUGACUUUCAACGUUACAACAUUUCUCUGUCUCAAUUUUCUCUUCUGUCAAAUAGCAACAAAAAUAUUUCUUGUUCCUAAAAAACAUGGUAUCAGUGAAAUUCCAAAGUGAAGGAAAAAAUGUUUUUGCAAUUUGUAUUUAAAUAUAUCUGGCUGGCAACCUGGUGGCACAGUGGAUAGAGCACCGGCCUUGAAAUCAGGGGGACCUGAGUUCAAAUUUGGUCUCAGACACUUAACAAUUCCUAGCUGUGUGACUCUGGACAACCC